rnacentral:pre_miRNA from 1 species
UAGGGUACUGACAUUGAAUGAGUUUUGUUGUGCAGACCAUUUAAUUUCGUACCCUGGA